UCCCUGAUAGCUCAGCUGGUAAAGAAUCUGCCUGCAAUGCAGAAUACCCAAGUUCAAUCCCUGAUUGGGGAA
rnacentral:tRNA from 1 species